rnacentral:rRNA from 1 species
GAUGAACGCUGGCGGCGUGCUUAACACAUGCAAGUCGAACGAAGCAUUUAGGACAGAUUACUUCGGUUUGAAGUUCUUUAUGACUGAGUGGCGGACGGGUGAGUACCGCGUGGGUAACCUGCCUUGUACUGGGGGAUAGCAGCUGGAAACGGCUGGUAAUACCGCAUAAGCGCACAAUGUUGCAUGACAUGGUGUGAAAAACUCCGGUGGUAUAAGAUGGACCCGCGUCUGAUUAGCUAGUUGGUGAGAUAACAGCCCACCAAGGCGACGAUCAGUAGCCGACCUGAGAGGGUGACCGGCCACAUUGGGACUGAGACACGGCCCAGACUCCUACGGGAGGCAGCAGUGGGGAAUAUUGCACAAUGGAGGAAACUCUGAUGCAGCGACGCCGCGUGAGUGAAGAAGUAAUUCGUUAUGUAAAGCUCUAUCAGCAGGGAAGAUAGUGACGGUACCUGACUAAGAAGCUCCGGCUAAAUACGUG